rnacentral:lncRNA from 1 species
GCAUGAAACUCUCUUUUGCUAAUAUAUAUAUGUUCUUUUUUUUUUUUUUCCUGAGAAAUAUCUGCCCCUCACAUUAUAGAAUCAUGCAAAAAAGAUGUGAGAACAAAACAAGCAUUAUCAAAGAGGAACCAAAGAACAUGAUUAACACAGUGACAAACCCUUCAGACAAAUGGAAUUUUUCCUGUCCUAAACUGUGCUGGAUGGGAGGCGUUGCACAUUCAAAGCUCCCGUUUAAAUCUCAAGCAGAAAUGGCAGAGUCCACAGCUCCUGAACCUUCUGAUGUACCUUGGAGGCAUCCUGAGAGGCCCUGUCCCAGGGUAAAUCCCACUGAACAGGCAAUGGCUUCUCUGCAGCUAUUUGCAACUAAAACAACUUCUUCCUAGGCAAUAAAUUUUCUAACCUUUUCUUCUUCUAGUGGAGGAGCAGUUGUAAACUUCCAGUGCCAGGAGUUGUUGUCCAGCUGGGAGCUUCAACAUCUUAUAAGGGUGAUGGACGGCAGAGCCCUGCAAGGUCUGGAGGCAAGAUCUGUGACUUGGUCUUCACUGUUUGUACUGCUCUGAGAACACGUUAGGGAAAAAUUGAGGCUGAAAUAUUAUUCAGCAGCAAACUGACAGAAGAGGUUUUGGGCAAAGCAGUGAUGCACCACUGAGGUUCCUUACACAUGCAAGGGGUAUAUCUAUCCUUGCACAUCCAAGUACCACAAGACUCUCCUUUGUGGUUGCAGUGCAGUAUGGCACUCAUCUCCAGUUACUCUAAACCCUUUUCUGAGGCUCUGUUGCCCCAGCCAGAUUCUAUUCUUUGUACUUCAGUGUAUUAUCUGAAUAGGGGGGAAGCGCAGCGUUCAUCUAUCUUAAAAUGUGUUUUGUUGGUUUGUAGACAUUUGUCCAAGCAAUUCACAUCACUCUGUACCAAGAAGUUCUCUCCUUCCGAAGGUUCCACCAAUCUUUGUGUCAUCAAUAUGUUCUACAAGAUUUCAUUUUAUCAUCUGGAUUGCUGAUAAAAAUGUGAAUGCAUCCCUGCAGGCCAACCUUCCCUUGUGCCAGGGCCCUCAGACCCAUCACCCCACAGAUUUCAAGCCUUCUAAUUAAGAUCUGACAUUUGCUUUAAAGAAUGUACAACAAAUAGAGCAAAGGCAAAGCAAAACUGCUUGGAUUCUGAACCACAAAUAGGAGGUAGACCAAGGUUACAGAAACAAAUAA